rnacentral:rRNA from 1 species
UACGUAGGGACCGAGCGUUGUCCGGAAUCAUUGGGCGUAAAGAGCGUGUAGGCGGCCACUUAAGUCCUGCGUGAAAUCCUGCGGCUCAACCGCAGGCGGUCGUGGGAAACUGGGUGGCUAGAGUGCGGGAGAGGAGAGUGGAAUUCCUGGUGUAGCGGUGGAAUGCACAGAUAUCAGGAAGAACACCCGUGGCGAAGGCGGCUCUCUGGAACGCAACUGACGCUGAGACGCGAAAGCGUGGGGAGCAAAAAGG